UACAGAGGGGGCAAGCGUUAUUCGGAAUUACUGGGCGUAAAGGGCGCGUAGGCGGCCUUCUAAGUCGAACGUGAAAUCCCCGGGCUCAACUCGGGAACUGCGUCCGAUACUGGAAGGCUUGAAUCCGGGAGAGGGAUGUGGAAUUCCAGGUGUAGCGGUGAAAUGCGUAGAUAUCUGGAGGAACACCGGUGGCGAAGGCGACAUCCUGGACCGAUAUUGACGCUGAGGCGCGAAAGCCAGGGGAGCAAACAGG
rnacentral:rRNA from 1 species